CACGUAGGGACCAAGCGUUGUCCGGAUUCAUUGGGCGUAAAGAGCUCGUAGGCGGUUCGGUAAGUCGGGUGUGAAACCUCCAGGCUCAACCUGGAGACGCCACCCGAUACUGCCGUGACUAGAGUCCAGUAGGGGAGCGUGGAAUUCCUGGUGUAGCGGUGAAAUGCGCAGAUAUCAGGAGGAACACCAGCGGCGAAGGCGGCGCUCUGGGCCAAUAUUGACGCUGAGGUGCGAAAGCGUGGGGAGCAAACAGG
rnacentral:rRNA from 1 species